CGCCUGGGGAGUACGGCCGCAAGGUUAAAACUCAAAUGAAUUGACGGGGGCCCGCACAAGCGGUGGAGCAUGUGGUUUAAUUCGAUGCAACGCGAAGAACCUUACCUGGUCUUGACAUCCACAGAAGAAUCCAGAGAUGGAUUUGUGCCUUCGGGAACUGUGAGACAGGUGCUGCAUGGCUGUCGUCAGCUCGUGUUGUGAAAUGUUGGGUUAAGUCCCGCAACGAGCGCAACCCUUAUCCUUUGUUGCCAGCGGUUAGGCCGGGAACUCAAAGGAGACUGCCAGUGAUAAACUGGAGGAAGGUGGGGAUGACGUCAAGUCAUCAUGGCCCUUACGACCAGGGCUACACACGUGCUACAAUGGCGCAUACAAAGAGAAGCGACCUCGCGAGAGCAAGCGGACCUCAUAAAGUGCGUCGUAGUCCGGAUUGGAGUCUGCAACUCGACUCCAUGAAGUCGGAAUCGCUAGUAAUCGUGGAUCAGAAUGCCACGGUGAAUACGUUCCCGGGCCUUGUACACACCGCCCGUCACACCAUGGGAGUGGGUUGCAAAAGAAGUAGGUAGCUUAACCUUCGGGAGGGCGCUUACCACUUUGUGAUUCAUGACUGGGGUGAAGUCGUAACAAGGUAACCGUAGGGGAACCUGCGGUUG
rnacentral:rRNA from 1 species